rnacentral:rRNA from 1 species
UACAGAGGGGGCAAGCGUUGUUCGGAAUUACUGGGCGUAAAGGGCGCGUAGGCGGCCUGUUAAGUCGAACGUGAAAUCCCCGGGCUCAACCCGGGAACUGCGUCCGAUACUGGCAGGCUUGAAUUCGGGAGAGGGAUGCGGAAUUCCAGGUGUAGCGGUGAAAUGCGUAGAUAUCUGGAGGAACACCGGUGGCGAAGGCGGCAUCCUGGACCGAGAUUGACGCUGAGGCGCGAAGCCAGGGAGCAAACGGG